UCCCAUAAACCGUGGCUCAGUUCAGAUCGUAGGCUGCAACUCGCCUACGUGAAGGCGGAAUCGCUAGUAAUCGCAGGUCAGCAUACUGCGGUGAAUACGUUCCCGGGCCUUGUACACACCGCCCGUCACACCAUGGAAGUUGGCCACGCCCGAAGCCGUUACUCCAACCCUUGUGGAGGAGGACGUCGAAGGUGGGGCUGAUGGCUGGGGUGAAGUCGUAACAAGGUAUCCGUACCGGAAGGUGCGGAUGGAUCACCUCCUAACAGGGAGACAACACAAUGAUUUUGAUGCCUGAGUGAUUUUAUUCUUAGGCCGAAAUCCUGUCACCUUAGGUCGAUCGGUACCUCAGCUUUGAAGUUAAGGAUCAGCAGCAAUGUUGAUUGCUUGAUGGAGAUUUUCAGUUUCUAAACUUUGUCUAGGUCACACCCCAAAAGGGAUGAGACUCCUGGGCCAUUAGCUCAGGUGGUUAGAGCGCACCCCUGAUAAGGGUGAGGUCCCUGGUUCAAGUCCAGGAUGGCCCAUUCGGUGUUGGGGGUUUAGCUCAGUUGGUAGAGCGCCUGCUUUGCAAGCAGGAUGUCAGGAGUUCGAGUCUCCUAACCUCCACUGACCGAACUCAAUCUCCGGUUUUGCAUUGAAAGAUGGAGAGCUACUCGAUUGUGAAGUGUGAUCUAGAUGUGUCCGCUGGAUGACCCCAGCUUCCUGUCAUUCCAAAUGAACAAAAUAAUGUCAAUUAUUUUGCGAGUUGGUUGA
rnacentral:misc_RNA from 1 species